GAUGAACGCUGGCGGCGUGCCUAACACAUGCAAGUCGAACGGAGAUUACGGACGGAAGUUUUCGGAUGGAAGACUGUAAUUCUUAGUGGCGGACGGGUGAGUAACGCGUGGGCAACCUGCCCUAUACAGGGGGAUAGCAGCUGGAAACGGCUGGUAAGACCGCAUAAGUCGGCGAGACCGCAUGGUUUUGCCGGGAAAUGAGCAAUCAGGUAUAGGAUGGGCCCGCGUCCGAUUAGCCAGUUGGCAGGGUAAAAGCCUACCAAAGCAACGAUCGGUAGCCGGACUGAGAGGUCGGACGGCCACAUUGGGACUGAGACACGGCCCAAACUCCUACGGGAGGCAGCAGUGGGGGAUAUUGCACAAUGGAGGAAACUCUGAUGCAGCGACGCCGCGUGAGUGAAGAAGUAUUUCGGUAUGUAAAGCUCUAUCAGCAGGGAAGAUGAUGACGGUACCAGACUAAGAAGCCCCGGCUAACUACGUG
rnacentral:rRNA from 1 species